AGAUGUCUGAUUGACAUUCUCCCAGCACUGUGUUUACCCCCGUCUGUUACCUGUCUGUACACUGGUACUCCCAUCUGUUACCUGUCUGUACACUGUCUGGUACCCCUGACAGUCUGUUACCUGUCUGUACACUGUCUGGUACCCCUGACAGUCUGUUACCUGUCUGUACACUGUCUGGUACCCCUGUCUGUUACCUGUCAGUACACUGGUACCUUCGUCUGUUACCUGUCUGUACACUGUCUGUACACUGUCUGUUACGUGUCUGUACACUGGUACCCCCGUCUGUUACCUGUCUGUACACUGGUACCCCCGUCUGUUUCCUGUCUGUACACUGUCUGGUAUCUCCGUCUGUACACUGUCUGUACACUUGUACCCCCGUCUGUUACCUGUCUGUACACUGUCUGGUACCCCCGUCUGUUACCUGUCUGUACCCUGUCUGGUACCCCCGUCUGUUACCUGUCUGUACACUGUCUGUUACCUGUCUGUACACUGGUACCCCUUUCUGUUACCUGUCUGUACACUGGUACCCCCUUCUGUUACCUGUCUGUACACUGGUACCCCCAUCUGUUACCUGUCUGUACACUGGUACCCCCGUCUGUUACCUGUCUGUACACUGAUACCCCCGUCUGUUACCUGUCUGUACACUGUCUGGUACCCCUGUCUGUUACCUGUCUGUACACUGGUACCCCCAUCUGUUACCUGUCUGUACACUGGUACCCCCGUCUGUUACCUGUCUGUACACUGUCUGGUACCCCCGUCUGUUACCUGUCUGUACACUGGUACCCCCGUCUGUUACCUGUCUGUACACUGUCUGGUACCCCUGUCUGUUACCUGUCUGUACACUGGUACCCCCGUCUGUUACCUGUCUGUACACUGGUACCCUCGUCUGUUACCUGUCUGUACACUGUCUGGUACCCCCGUCUGUUACCUGUCUGUACACUGUCUGUUACCUGUCUGUACACUGUCUGGUACCCCUGCCUGUUACCCGUGGAAGUGACAGUGGUUGUCAUGGGCAAAACCAUAACCCUAAUCCCCACAGAUACACAUAUGUUUUUCUAUUCUUUCGGGUACCACACACUCACACAAAUACUCACUUGUCCACGGUGA
rnacentral:lncRNA from 1 species